GCACAAAAAUUAAGGGUUUUUUGUUGUUUUUAUCUUUUCAAAGGUAGUAUUAGCAAUGUGAUGUUGGUUCAGAAGUCAGGUAAGGUCUGUGGUUGGGAACUACAAUUCUUUUAUUUGACAUAUGUUACUGAGCAUUGAACACUUGUUUAUGUAGGCACGGAUUUAAGAACAACACCACAAAAACAAAAGGCUAAACUGCAGACCUGUGCUGAGAAGCAGGCCUGGUCUGGCUACUCCUAUAACUCAGCUGAGAAAAGGGGAAAAAAAACUGCCAUUAUAAGAGAAGAAGCAUAAAUUUAGUUAUAAAUUAUGGUUACAGAACUAGAUAAUAUUUCCUUCAAGGCCCAAAGCACUGGAAAACCCAGUUCCCUGGGUACACGCACAUUGUGUUUGUUGCAGGAAAUAUUUAAAGUUAGACUCUGCCUUGUGCAAGUGGUUUAUCUGUAAGAAAACUUAACAGAGCUGUGCUGAUUCAAACAGUUCUCUUAGCAAAAAAAAAAAUAAAAUUACGUAUUUCAGAAUUAUAUUUCAGAAUAAAAAAUUAUACACUUAAAGCCAGGUAACAACCUACCCAAAAGAGAGCAAGUUUCAGCAAACAGUGACCAAGAAAGAGUCAACAGGCAAAGCCAGUGUGAGGCAUGACUUUAAGCAAUAAUCUUUGCCAGAUCUCAUUCCUGCUUGCAUCAGAAUUCUCUCCCAAAGAAGAUUCAGGAGAGAAAAAGGUAAAUUGAACACAUCCUUGUCUUCCUUCAUCUCAUAAGGGCAGUCUUCUACAUUUCUUAACAACAGAAAAAAAAACCAAAAAAAAUAUACAUUUCCAGACCUUGCACAUAUCCGAAAAGAAAAAGGUGGAGAACAAAGAGGGAGAAUAAAACCUAACAAGAGCUAAAACACGACUUUGUAGUAAACAAUAGAAUAUAACGUGCAAUAGUGCAAUUUCUCCUUUGCUGCUCCAAGAAGGAAACCUCGGCAGGCAGUCCCGGGCAGGGCAGCAUCCCUGGGUGUCACAGCAGCUCUGGGUGUCACAGCAUCCCUGGGUGUCACAGCAGCCCUGGGUGUCACAGCAGCUCUGGGUCCCUGGGUGUCACAGCAGCUCUGGGGCCCUGGGUGUCACAGCUGGCCCUCAGUGUCACUCCCAGCUCUGCUGCUCCUGCCCUCGGUGUCACAGCCAGUCCCUGGGUGUCACUGUCCUAGCUCUGCUGUCCUGGGUGUCACAG
ensembl:lncRNA